rnacentral:rRNA from 1 species
AUGAAAGGAAUUUUUUGGAAUAGCAGAGGUCUUAAGGACUUGGCUAAAAGAAGGUUUCUCGCUGAGGAGUCUCUGGAGCGCCGUCUAGAUUUCGUUGCUCUCUCCGAAACUGGAAGAGAUAAUUUUGCUCCUCAGUUUCUUGCUUCUCUUGUCGGUGGUAUCGAUUUUGACUGGCAUUGCCUGCCUCCACGUGGACGAUCGGGAGGAAUCUUACUGGGAGUGAGAUGCGAUUCUCUUGAGGUCAGGAGUGUGGUGAUGGGGGACUUUGCGGUUAAGUUUCGGGUUAGGUCAAAAGUUGAUGGAUUCGACUGGGCUUUAGUGGCGGUUUACGGAGCCGCACAACCGGAGCUUAAACCGGAAUUUCUUGCGGAUCUUGUUCGAAUCUGUGGAUCCGAACAGCUCCCAAUGCUAGUCGGGGGUGAUUUCAAUAUCAUUCGAAGGAGAGAGGAGAAGAACAAUGAUAACUUCGACGGGAGAUGGUCAUUUAUGUUUAACACCAUUAUUGAGAGCUUGGAUCUGAGGGAGAUAGAGCUUUCUGGCAGAAAGUUUACCUGGGCUAAUGCUCUGCCAAACCCAACAUAUGAAAAGCUUGAUCGUGUGCUGGCUAGUGUAGAGUGGGAACAUAAAUUCCCUCUGGUUACGGUACAAGCUUUAACGAGAGGCAUAUCCGAUCACACACCACUGUUUGUGGACUCCGGGGAGUCCAACUAUGUGGGAAACAAGAACACUUUCUCAUUCGAGAUGGCCUGGUUCGAACGUGAAGGUUUCUUAGACCUCGUUGCCAGGGAAUGGGAUAAGGGGGGUGGAGGUAGAACGGCGGUUGAACGUUGGCAGAACAAAAUAAGGCACUUAAGAAGUUUCUUACGAGGGUGGGCUAAGCACCUAAGUGGGGCUUAUAAGAUCGAAAAGGAUAGACUCCUAGCUCUUACUCAGGCCCUAGAUACAAAAGCUGAAUCUUCAAUUCUGCUACCCGCCGAGCUCCAGGUUAAGAACGAGGCUGAGAAGAGGUUGAAAGAACUUCUCCGCGAGGAAGAGUUGAAGUGGGCGUUGCGCGCUAAGGUCCGCAAAGUAGUCCAAGGGGAUGCCAAUACUCAAUUCUUUCACCUGAUUGCGAAUGGCAAGCACCGUAAGAAACGUAUUUUCCAGCUAGAGCAAGAUGAAGGCACAAUCAUUGGGCAGGAUAAUCUCAAAGCAUACAUCACUGAGUAUUAUAGACAGUUAUUCGGGCCGCCGGAGGUUAAUUCCGUGUCCUUGGAUGAGUCCAGGACUGAUGAUGUUCCUCAGUUGUCGGUAGCCGAUAAUGAGAUUUUGCUGGCCCCAUUUACGGAGAAGGAGGUGUUUGAUGCUAUAGCACAAAUGAAAAACAAUAAGGCUCCCGGACCGGAUGGGUUUCCGGCUGAGUUCUAUAAAAAGUGCUGGCACAUUAUUAAGGGGGAUCUGCUACCUAUGUUUACCGAUCUUUUCUCGGGACAGCUACAACUGUUUCACUUGAAUUUCGGAACCAUCACAUUACUCCCUAAGAGAACGGAGGUUGUGCGCAUUGAGCAGUUCAGGCCGAUUUGCCUACUCAAUGUUAGUUUCAAAAUAUUCACCAAGGUCGGGACGAACAGGCUCUCACAGAUUGCGCUUUCUGUGGUGCAACAGUCUCAAACUGCUUUUAUGCCGGAUAGAAACAUCCUUGAAGGGGUGGUUGUCCUGCAUGAAAUGCUCCAUGAAAUUCAUUCUAAAAAAUUAGAUGGAGUAAUUUUUAAGGUGGAUUUCGAAAAGGCGUAUGAUAAGGUUAAGUGGCCAUUCCUGCAGCAGGCAUUGCGUAUGAAAGGUUUUGAUGAUGCCUGGCGCCAUCAGGUGGAAUCUUUUACGCAAAAAGGGAGUGUUGGUAUUAAAGUAAAUGACGAUAUAGGUCAUUACUUCCAAACUCACAAGGGCCUCAGGCAAGGAGAUCCAAUGUCCCCUAUCUUGUUUAACAUCGUGGUGGAUAUGUUAGCAAUUUUGAUAGGAAGGGCGAAGGACAAUGGACAAGUGGGUGGCCUAGUACCUCAUCUGGUUGAUGGAGGUGUAUCUAUUCUUCAAUACGCUGAUGAUACAAUACUCUUUAUGGAGCACGAUUUGGCCAAGGCGAGAAAUAUGAAGUUGUUACUAUGCCUCUUUGAACAAUUAUCGGGGUUGAAGAUCAAUUUCCAUAAGAGCGAGUUGUUCUGCUUUGGGAGAGCCAAAGACGAACAAGAGUCUUAUAGGCAAUUGUUUGGGUGCGAGUUGGGAAGUUUACCUUUCUCCUACCUUGGCAUUCCGAUACAUCAUCGUAGGCUAACUAACAAAGAGUGGAAGUGUGUCGAGGAUCGAUUUGAGAAGAAACUGAGCUGCUGGAAGGGUAAGCUCAUGUCAUACGGAGGCCGGUUAAUCUUGAUUAACUCGGUGCUCACAAGUAUGCCUAUGUUCCUCUUAUCUUUCUUUGAAGUUCCAGUGGGUGUUAGGAAAAGACUGGACUUUUAUCGAUCACGUUUCUUUUGGCAGGGUGAUGAGCACAAAAGAAAAUACCGGCUUGCUAAGUGGGAUAUUAUCUGUCGACCCAAAGACCAAGGUGGGCUUGGUAUUGAGAAUCUAGAGGUUAAGAACAGAUGCCUUCUUAGUAAGUGGUUGUGGAAGCUCGCGUCCGGUACUGAAGCAAUGUGGGCGCAAAUCAUUCGCAGCAAGUACCUCCAGACUAGAACGUUAUCGCAAGUAUCAGUUAGGCCGACUGAUUCGCCUUUCUGGAAGGGACUAAUGAAAGUCAAAGUAUUACUGUUUAAUAGGACAAAAGUGGUCCUUGGAAAUGGUGCUACUACACGUUUCUGGGAGGAUUCUUGGCUGGGUGACUCGCCCUUGGCUAUGCAGUAUCCUUCUUUAUAUCGUAUUGCGCAACGACGAGAGGUGUUCGUGGCAACGGUAUUUCAAACUAUCCCCCUUAAUAUUCAGUUUAGACGGUCGUUAGUGGGCAAUCGUUGGGAGGUUUGGCUCCAGUUAGUAAGGAGACUAAUGGAGGUCCAACUCUCUGACCAACCUGAUGUAUUACGCUGGAAGUUGACCAAGAAUGGGGUAUUUACAGUGAGGUCAAUGUAUCUUGAUGUUAUUAACUCAAGUUCUAUUCCAACGUCCAAAAAGGUAUGGGAUGUUAAAGUUCCUUUGAAAAUAAAAGUGUUUAUGUGGUUUGUGCAUAAACAAGUCAUUCUCACAAAGGACAAUUUGAUAAAGCGUAAUUGGACAGGACCUACUAGGUGUAGUUUCUGUGAUCGAGAUGAGACAAUUAAACAUCUCUUUUUUGAUUGCCCGCUAGCUAAGGUUCUAUGGCAGACGGUGCAUAUGGCCUUUAAUAUUACUCCACCCACCACGGUUACCGCUUUAUUUGGGACUUGGCUUAAUGGGAUUGAUUCUGCAUUAGCAAGGCAUAUUCGGGUGGGAGUUUGUGCGUUGAUGUGGACCAUCUGGUUGUGCAGAAAUGAUUUGGUUUUUAACAGAACACCACGAAUUCAUUUUUUGCAGGUUCUAUUCCGAGCUACGGCUUUGAUCCGUUUGUGGUCGUCACUCACUCCGAUGGAGGCCAGGGAGUAUUUGGUUACUGGGUCUACCCGAUGGGAGAUGGCUGCUCGGGUUAUCUUCAACCGGUUUGGAUGGCAGUCAUGUAAUAGGAUAGGCAAUUAG